CACGUGGAUAACCUGCCCUAAGGAAGGGGAUACCCCCGGGAAACUGGGGAUAAUACCCUAUAGGUUACAGAUGCUGGAAUGCUCUGUAACCGAAAGUUCCGGCGCCUUAGGAUGGAUCUGCGGCCGAUUAGGUUGUUGUCGGGGUAACGGCCCAACAAGCCAGUAAUCGGUACGGGUUGUGGGAGCAAGAGCCCGGAGUUGGAUUCUGAGACACGAAUCCAGGCCCUACGGGGCGCAGCAGGCGCGAAAACUUUACAAUGCGGGCAACCGUGAUAAGGGAACCUCGAGUGCCUGUAUAUGCAGGCUGUCUGGGUGUCUAAAACACACCUAAAGAAAGGGCCGGGCAAGACCGGUGCCAGCCGCCGCGGUAAUACCGGCGGCUCGAGUGGUGGCCACUUUUAUUGGGCUUAAAGCGUUCGUAGCUGGGUUAUUAAGUCCCUUGGGAAAUCCGACGGCUUAACCGUCGGGCGUCUAAGGGAUACUGGCAAUCUUGGAACCGGGAGAGGUGAGGGGUACUUCGG
rnacentral:rRNA from 1 species